GCCCCCAUAGCUCAAUGGAUAGAGCAGUUCCGUCCUAAGGAAAAAAUGGAGGUUCGAUUCCUUCUGGGGGCACAA
rnacentral:tRNA from 2 species